CAGCAGCCGCGGUAAAACGAAGGGUGCAAGCGUUACUCGGAAUUACUGGGCGUAAAGCGUGCGUAGGUGGUGGUUUAAGUCCGUUGUGAAAGCCCUGGGCUCAACCUGGGAAUUGCAGUGGAUACUGGGUCACUAGAGUGUGGUAGAGGAUAGUGGAAUUUCCGGUGCAGCAGUGAAAUGCGUAGAGAUCGGAAGGAACAUCUGUGGCGAAGGCGACUAUCUGGGCCAACACUGACACUGAGGCACGAAAGCGUGGGGAGCAAACAGGAUUAGAUACCCGUGUAGUCCCUGUCUCUUAACA
rnacentral:rRNA from 1 species